UAAAUACUCCCUUCAUCCAAAAAAGCUUGUUCAAAGCUUGUCCCUCAAAUGGAUGUAUCUAGCACUGACUUGGUGCUAGAUACAUCUAUUUAAGGGACAAGCUUUUCCGAACGGAGGGAGUAUAAA
rfam:Triticum aestivum genome assembly, contig: Triticum_aestivum_CS42_TGACv1_scaffold_096424_2AL